UACGAAGGGGGCUAGCGUUGUUCGGAAUCACUGGGCGUAAAGCGCACGCAGGCGGAUUGUUAAGUCAGGGGUGAAAUCCCGAGGCUCAACCUCGGAACUGCCUUUGAUACUGGCAAUCUUCGAGUCCGGGAGAGGUGAGUGGAACUCCGAGUGUAGAGGUGAAAUUCGUAGAUAUUCGGAAGAACACCAGUGGCGAAGGCGACUUCCUGGACCAGCACCGACGUUCAGGCACGAAAGCGUGGGGAGCAAACAGG
rnacentral:rRNA from 1 species